rnacentral:rRNA from 1 species
UACGGGGGGGGGCAAGCGUUGUUCGGAAUUACUGGGCGUAAAGGGCUCGUAGGCGGCCAACUAAGUCAGACGUGAAAUCCCUCAGCUUAACUGGGGAACUGCGUCUGAUACUGGAUGGCUUGAAUCCGGGAGAGGGAUGCGGAAUUCCAGGUGUAGCGGUGAAAUGCGUAGAUAUCUGGAGGAACACCGGUGGCGAAGGCGACAUCCUGGACCGGCAUUGACGCUGAGUGAGCGAAAGCCAGGGGAGCAAACAGG